rnacentral:rRNA from 1 species
GAUGAACGCUGGCGGCGUGCCUAAUACAUGCAAGUCGAGCGAACAGACGAGGAGCUUGCUCCUCUGACGUUAGCGGCGGACGGGUGAGUAACACGUGGAUAACCUACCUAUAAGACUGGGAUAACUUCGGGAAACCGGAGCUAAUACCGGAUAAUAUAUUGAACCGCAUGGUUCAAUAGUGAAAGACGGUUUUGCUGUCACUUAUAGAUGGAUCCGCGCCGCAUUAGCUAGUUGGUAAGGUAACGGCUUACCAAGGCAACGAUGCGUAGCCGACCUGAGAGGGUGAUCGGCCACACUGGAACUGAGACACGGUCCAGACUCCUACGGGAGGCAGCAGUAGGAAAUCUUCCGCAAUGGGCGAAAGCCUGACGGAGCAACGCCGCGUGAGUGAUGAAGGUCUUCGGAUCGUAAAACUCUGUUAUUAGGGAAGAACAAAUGUGUAAGUAACUAUGCACGUCUUGACGGUACCCAAUCAGAAAGCCACGGCUAACUACGUG